CCUACGGGAGGCAGCAGUGGGGAAUAUUGGGCAAUGGGCGCAAGCCUGACCCAGCAACGCCGCGUGAAGGAAGAAGGCUUUCGGGUUGUAAACUUCUUUUGUCAGGGAAGAGUAGAAGACGGUACCUGACGAAUAAGCCACGGCUAAAUACGUGCCAGCCGCCGCGGUAAUACGUAGGUGGCAAGCGUUGUCCGGAUUUACUGGGUGUAAAGGGCGUGUAGCCGGGUUGACAAGUCAGAUGUGAAAUCCUGCGGCGUAACCGCAGAACUGCAUUUGAAACUGUUGCUCUUGAGUACUGGAGAGGCAGACGGAAUUCCUAGUGUAGCGGUGAAAUGCGUAGAUAUUAGGAGGAACGCCAGUGGCGAAGGCGGUCUGCUGGACAGCAACUGACGGUGAGGCGCGAAAGCGUGGGGAGCAAACAGGAUUAGAUACCCCUGUAGUC
rnacentral:rRNA from 1 species